AUGGCAAGGGCAGAGCCCAUUUCAAAUGUGCUUUUCUUACUACUGUAUCUGGCACCCAAUCAAUACCAUAGUUAUGUAGGACUGUUACCAUCCCGACCUAUGAUCCAGCCCCCUUUGCCAGCACUAACUUCACUGGAAGACAGAAGUAGAGGGGGAUCAGUAAAUAAGCCAGUUAGCCCCAGGAGCUGGGGCCCCAAGGCUCUUGCAAAAAGAGCGGUGCUGUUUUUCAAGGUCAGGCCUUUCCCAAGAGAAUAUUGAGUGCUUCGAUGAAAACGGAAGUAGAAUGCAAAACGAACCUUUAUUUACUGCUUCCGAAGAGCAGCUCUUUUCCUCACGCCUCACUCUGGGCGUGCUAGCUAUUCCCCCUCCGCCCCCUCGUCCACCAGCCAGCAUUAAUUCUGUUGAUUUGUUUUCCACUCUAGGAUUUUGAAAAGUAUGUGACCAAACUGGACGAAAUCCUGAUGCUGAAAUCAAAGUGUAUCCAAAGCAUGCGAGCCCAGCUUCAGCUCUAUUUAGCCUGGCCCGAGACGGAUGCUACCCUGCAACGAACUACACCACCUUAGUCCGCUUCGGAUUGCAUUCAUCCCACACGGACUAGUUCCGGCAACACAUGCUCACUAUUUCCCCACCGGGGUUAGGUUCCCCUGCAGCAAGGGAGGUGGUUAGUGUCAAGUUUGGUGUUUCUGAUUAACAUAUAUUUUAGAUAACGGCUGAGAGAAAUGUAAGUCAAUGAGAAAUCUUUAUAGAUCUGGUUUGAAGCCAGGGGCUCUGCAUUCCCAGGUCCAUCCUUCUAAUAGGAAACCAUAUGCUUUGAAGCAAUAAUUCUGUCGCCUUAAAAUGCACACUGCAGCAGCAGGAGUCCCCGGGUGAGGUUUUCAUACUCGCUCCUCUCGUUAAAGGCACUUGUGUGCUGCUGAGAAAAUGACGCAAAGGAAAACCCUUUGAAACCAGAAAAGUCUGAAAAGAAAUAUUCCAGACUUACAAGAACGGUUUUAAGAAGCAAGUGAGGAAAUGAAGGGGAACAGCUGUUUGCUGGAGUAAAAUAACCAGGCAGGCGUUCAAUGAAAAUCUAGUUCGAGCCAGACUGGUUUAUAGUUUCGGAAGAACCAAGGAGGUGGCUACAGUCAGUCUGUGCCUGGUACUAACAUUGCAGACCUAGUGCAAGGAUGCUUUAAGUGAUGGACAAUAAAUGACUUCUUAGAAGGCUCA
rnacentral:lncRNA from 1 species